CCCGCUGAACUUAAGCAUAUCAAUAAGCGGAGGAAAAGAAACUAACAAGGAUUCCCCUAGUAACUGCGAGUGAAGCGGGAAGAGCUCAAAUUUAAAAUCUGGCGGCAUUGGCCGUCCGAGUUGUAAUCUGGAGAAGCGUUUUCUGUGUCGGACCGUGCAAAAGUUUCCUGGAACGGCAACGUCAUAGAGGGUGAGAAUCCCGUCCAUGGCACGGAUCACCGAGGCUUUGUGAUACGCUCUCGAAGAGUCGAGUUGUUUGGGAAUGCAGCUCAAAAUGGGUGGUAAAUUCCAUCUAAAGCUAAAUAUUGGCGAGAGACCGAUAGCGAACAAGUACCGUGAGGGAAAGAUGAAAAGCACUUUGGAAAGAGAGUUAAACAGUACGUGAAAUUGUUGAAAGGGAAACGCUUGGAGUCAGUCGCGUCGGCCGGGAUUCAGUCGUCCCUUCUUCGGACGGAUUACUUCCCGGUGGACGGGUCAGCAUCAAUUUCGACCGCCGGAUAAAGGUUGAGGGAACGUGACAUCUUUCGAGGUGUGUUUAUAGCCCUCGAUUCGCAUACGGCGAUUGGGAUUGAGGAACUCAGCGCGCCUUUAUGGUCGGGGUAGCAACCCACGUAACGCGCUCAGGAUGCUGGCAUAAUGGCUUUAAGCGACCCGUCUUGAAACACGG
rnacentral:rRNA from 1 species